CAGGAUCUUCCAGUGAAACCAACGUCAUUCAGAGAAAGUUUCCAGGAGGUAGAACCUCGCCUUUAGGAGACGUCCAGCCAGCUGGUUUAAGAGGAAUUUCUCCGUGCAGUAGGAAUCGCUCCUUCCACUACGCCGAAGGUUUGGACGCGAGCAACUGCAAAGGUGGCUUCUUGCAGACUGCAAAACCCUGCACAGGUCCAGAUGAGAAUGGAGAGACGGGACUGGGUCAGCGCCCCUGCCAAAGAAUUCACAAUGAUUAUUGAGUCUUGCAACCAGCCUUAUCUGUCUGCAACAGCUGUCAAAGAG